GAAUACUUAUGGAAUACUUAAGCUAAUUAAAUAAUAAAUUCAAACUUUCGGCAUAAUUUAGUAUUACCAAAAUUGAUUCAAUAAAAUUAACAAUACAUAAAUGACAUAUCCCCUAAAAAAAACUACAUAAACGAUAUAUAUAAACAAUGUAACACACAAUUUUUUGAAAUAGCAAAUAUUUAUUUUUAUUUUUUUUAUAUUUUAAAACAGCUCAUAAGACUUUCACUAAAAGAAUUCAUGAUCGUCUUUAAUAUAAAAUCAGAGUAAAAAUAAUUUUCUUUCGAAAGUCUUUUACAAAAUAAUGACUUGAACCAAACACUAUCUUAUUAAUUGUUUUUGGGCAAUGAGUUUCAAAAUCAAAUCAUACAAUUUGUAAAAAAAAACCAUCAUGAAAUAGUGUAUAAGCAUUCAUUUUCCGUUGCAAUAUCAUUUAGCAUGUUUGGUUAGGCGUCCAAAUUACCAAUCCCGUGUUUCGAUGCCGAUUACAUCGCAAUUUUAAUAAGCUACAUAUUUGAGUUUCACACAAAAAGCACGGCUGCAUUCACACCACCGCUGUACCAAACACCGGCUAAAUCAUAACAUGUGAUUCUACUAAACAGAAACAAAUUAAACAACAUAAACCAGUAAGGUAAGGUAACCGAUAGAACAUGUUCGUACAUAGUUGAGAGAAAUAUUAGAAUUGUUCAGGUUAAGCUGGUUUAGGUACCGUGUAGUGUGUUCUUGAACUAGGUUCAUCUGAUCGAGCUAAUAUAUAGGACAACUUUUCGAUUGGCUCUUGCAGUCUUUUCGAUCUCUGGAUCAUGCAACAAGUCUUCGGGUUGCACUCUACCUUGCAUAAACAACAAAACAAUACCUUAUAGUAGCACUUCACAAUACAGAAACAAGAUGAACAACUGAAUUGACAACCCUUAAUUUGGCAACUCUCCCCUUCAAGCACUCAAGUUAUCUAGCCCAUCAUUUAUUUGGAAUGUCCUUUUGAAGCUAAGAGUAUUCAGGCCCUGGAAUUGUAUAUGAAUGAAUGGUUGCAAAAUUGAUGACAUUGUUUAUAAUAAUUUAAGAUUCAUGAUUUCAUUGUUAUCUGGUGCUGGAAUGAAUUUGUAGGCUACAUCAUUUUGUUUUAGGUUGCAACAUUUUUUAUCAUCUUUUUCCAAUCAAAAAAUGUGACAAAUUUAAAAGACUACGGCGAAGCUGCGAUUUAACGAGGGGAAGUUGUAAGGCUAUCAUAAAUUAGUAAUAUUCUCAGAGAAUAACCUUCACUAUCCUGAAGAUUCUCUAUAUCAAUUUUAUCCAGAUAUAUAAGAUAAAUUAGAAUGCUUAAGGUAUGAACCAAACUUUGAAAUAAAUUCAAGUCCUAAAAACAAAAAUUGUGGCAUAAUCAUAAAUUGCAUUCCUAUAAACAAAAACCAACUAUAUCCAAUCAAGCAGAGUCAAACACAGUCAUUAAAACAAAGUAAAAUGAAGGGGGCAGCGUUUAUGUUAAAAACAAAUUAAUAUUUUUUUUGAAAGAAUCAAUAAUAAAAUAUUAAAAAACUAAGAGAAUAUCACUAGGGAUGGGAAUAUGCCAGACCAGCCUACAGGGGCCUACGGCUUAGCCUACGACAAGUCAGGUUAGGGCCAAACUUUUUUCUUAAAUAGAGAAGGCUUAGGCUUUUUUAGAAGCUUAUUUAGCUUAAAAUGCCAGAUUACAGACCAUUCAAAAAACCUCUUAAGCCUAUUAGACCGGC
rnacentral:lncRNA from 1 species